rnacentral:lncRNA from 1 species
UCCUGUGACUCCUCACUAUGACUACUCUAGCCAAGAUUUUGCUAAAUUGAAAUACGACUGUACACAGCUCCUAAACUGGAGUGGUCAAUCCCAUCUUGACACACGCACCGACAAGUCAAGUACUUGACUACACCCAGCAGCCUUCCGUCACUGAAUUAGAAAUUCAGGUAGUCCAGUGCCUAAGUGCAGUGAGUUGCUUGCAAGUCACCGUGGCGGUCUCAGGUCGGAGGGAUAUUUAUACCCAUAUCCCAUCGGAGCAAAUCUUGACAGCAGAAAUAGCUCCGGAGUCGGUCAUGUUCAGUACAGAUAUACC